rnacentral:rRNA from 1 species
CGCGCAGGUGGGAUAGUAAGUCUUUUGUAAAAGUGCGGGGCUCAACCCCGUAAUGCGACGGAUACUGCUAUUCUUGAGUGCCGGAGAGGAAAGCGGAAUUCCCAGUGUAGCGGUGAAAUGCGUAGAUAUUGGGAGGAACACCAGUGGCGAAGGCGGCUUUCUGGACGGUGUCUGACACUGAGGCGCGAAAGCCAGGGGAGCGAACGGAUUAGAUACCCCGGUAGUCUUGGCCGUAAACGAUGGGUACUAGGUGUAGGGGGUAUCGACCCCUUCUGUGCCGGAGUUAACGCAAUAAGUACCCCGCCUGGGGAGUACGGCCGCAAGGUUGAA